CCUGGAGAAAGAUGGAGGAAUGACGAGAGAGAGAGAGCGAGAGUGCGAGAGAGAAAGAAAGAGAGGGGCAUGGAGUAGAUGGUGAGCAUGCGAAGCCAAAAGUCAGAAAGAAAAAGAGAGUGAAAGAAAGAGAAAGACAAAAAUGAAGAGUAUGAUACUGAAUAAUGAAGGAAAACAAUAGUGAAUAAACAGAUGGAAAGACAUUGGCAGGACAAAUGUGAAUAUUAUUUUAACGGAAAAUGACCAUCUUUUCAUGAAAUUGAUAUUUUCUCCCAAUUAAAAUCAAAUUGUACAUUUUGUGCUAAUAUGAAUCAAUGGGUGAGACUUUUAUCGUUUUUUAAAUUUAAUUUCCCACCGCUGAAACAUUUGUUUCCCCGAUGUGUUUUACACGGACUCUUAUUGUGAUGCACACGACGCAAGGAACGCUACAAACAACAUAGAAUGAAUUAAAAGGCAGUAAAUGUCGCAAGUGAGCUAGAAAAAAACUCAGCCCACAGCCAACAAUACAACAUCAAGAAGACAGAAAUAAAGGAAAGUCAAAGACAAAACAGAUGAAAGCGUGAAGGUGAACAAGUGGAAGCAUCAGCAAGUGGGUGUGGAGUGAAACGGCCCGGUCGGUGAUGGCAGCGAGGAUGAUGGUACUGAUGAAGCGAAGUCCGUACACUGACCUGAGGAGAGACGCAGGAGGUGAAUCCACCACAGCUGAGGAGAGACGGAAGACAAAAAACAGUUCAAGCAAAG